CCUGCUUUCCACAGCGCCUCUCGGCUCUCUGUCCCUCUGCCUGGAACUCUCUGCUCUCCUGGCUCUUUUCCUGUUUGCCUUCUUUCCCUUCUGGCUCAGCUUGAAAGUCACCUUCUCAGAAAAGCCUUUCUGAGCACGGGGGCUUCCAGCUAGUCAACGUUCACUCUGUCACAUUUCCUUCUCAAAGUCGUGUGUUCUCCUGGGGAUAAGACAUCCAGGAAGUGGGAAGAGAAAGGAGUGUCCCUUUGGGGCACAGCAUUGUUCUACCUGUUCCGUGUUUCCUUCUACUUCCCUAUCAAUCAUAUGGAAUCUUCCAAAGUAAUCUUCUGAAUGGAUGGAAAUACAGUGUUGAAUAUGUUAUAAAAGUCUCUCUGCAGUAUCAGCUCUCAUCUUGGAAAGGGGAGGCUAUACAGGGGAAUGCACAAAAUUCCUUGGAAGUCUGGAUGCUGCAGCUGAAACCCACCUCUGAAUGGAAGCAUGUCCACCUAGGGAACUGAAAGAAGGCCAGAGAAAGAAAUGACCAAGGAAAGUGGGAGAAGACGCCCCUGAAUGCAAAUUUAAUGGUUCUCCACUGAGUUUCAUUUUUGGCAAUUCAAACCUCCUUCCCCAUAAUCCCUUGUUGCAUACAUUUUAAGGCUUCAAGGUGUGCUGCAGGUUCUUCAUUAACCUGUCAGAUUCCAAUCCAUUCUCCACCUUCCUCCAUCCUCUGUGCAGCAGGAACCGGUCUCUGCAGACCACUUCAGCCAGGCUCCCUGCCAUCCAACUUCUGGCUGGUUCUGCCACUCUGAGGAAGGAGCAGAAGACCUGCAUCUCCCACAUGACCCUGGCUGUUUCUCUGUCAAAACCCACAGGUCCUGCCUAGUGGCCUUUGCCAGGACUCCUGCUCUCACCUCCUUAGUAACCUCCCUCAUCUACUGUCCCACUGGAUGAGGUGCAGCAACAGCUCUUCAGCAGCCCUUUUUGAGUUCCCUCAAGCCUGUCCAAAAAAGAUGUGGUCCCUUCUUGGGGCGCCUGGGUGGCUCAGUCGGUUAAGCGUCCAGCUUCGGCUCAGGUCAUGAUC